ensembl:lncRNA
GGUGGGCACAUGAACGCUGGUUACCCAAUGGGCUGAGAGGGGAGUGGGGGCACAUGAACGCUGGUUACCCAACGGGCUGAGAGGGGAGUGGGGGGCACAUGACCGCUGGUUACCCAAUGGGCUGAGAGGGGAGGGAGGGGGCACAUGACCGCUGGUUACCCAAUGGGCUGAGAGGGGAGGGGGGGGGCACAUGAAUGCUGGUUACCCAACGGGCUGAGAGGGGAGUGGGGGAGGCACAUGAACGCUGGUUACCCAACGGGCUGAGAGGGGAGUGGGGGCACAUGAACACUGGUUACCCAAUGGGCUGAGAGGG